UCCCUGGUGGUCCAGUGGUUAGUACUACAGACUCCCACUUUGGGGCCGCAGGUUCAAUCCCUGGUCAGGGAA
rnacentral:tRNA from 1 species